rnacentral:rRNA from 3 species
AGACCCGAAACCCGGUGAUCUAGCCAUGGGCAGGUUGAAGGUUGGGUAACACUAACUGGAGGACCGAACCGACUAAUGUUGAAAAAUUAGCGGAUGACUUGUGGCUGGGGGUGAAAGGCCAAUCAAACCGGGAGAUAGCUGGUUCUCCCCGAAAGCUAUUUAGGUAGCGCCUCGUGAAUUCAUCUCCGGGGGUAGAGCACUGUUUCGGCAAGGGGGUCAUCCCGACUUACCAACCCGAUGCAAACUGCGAAUACCGGAGAAUGUUAUCACGGGAGACACACGGCGGGUGCUAACGUCCGUCGUGAAGAGGGAAACAACCCAGACCGCCAGCUAAGGUCCCAAAGUCAUGGUUAAGUGGGAAACGAUGUGGGAAGGCCCAGACAGCCAGGAUGUUGGCUUAGAAGCAGCCAUCAUUUAAAGAAAGCGUAAUAGCUCACUGGUCGAGUCGGCCUGCGCGGAAGAUGUAACGGGGCUAAACCA